rnacentral:rRNA from 1 species
UACGAAGGGGGCUAGCGUUGCUCGGAAUCACUGGGCGUAAAGCGCACGUAGGCGGAUUGCUAAGUCAGGGGUGAAAUCCUGGAGCUCAACUCCAGAACUGCCUUUGAUACUGGCGACCUUGAGUCCGGGAGAGGUGAGUGGAACUCCGAGUGUAGAGGUGAAAUUCGUAGAUAUUCGGAAGAACACCAGUGGCGAAGGCGGCUCACUGGCCCGGUACUGACGCUGAGACGGCGAAAGGCGUGGGGAGCGAACGGG